UGCUCUAUCUAUAUCAACCUGCUGUUCUCACCCGGUGUCCCACUGCAGCUAAGUAGGGUUCAGCCUGGCCAAUACCUGGAUGGGAGACCUUUUGGGAAGACUAAGGUUGCUGCUGGAU
rnacentral:rRNA from 1 species